rnacentral:misc_RNA from 1 species
GGAAGUAAGAGUCGUAACAAGGUCUCCGUAGGUGAACCUGCGGAGGGAUCAUUACAGAGUUCAUGCCCUACCGGGUAGAUCUCCCACCCUAUGUUAUUAUUACUUUGUUGCUUCGGCGGGCCGUUAGGCUCCGGCCCGACUACCGGCCCCGGCUGGUAAGCGCCCGCCAGAGGACCCAAAACCCUGAAUAUUAGUGUCGUCUGAGUACUAUAUAAUAGUUAAAACUUUCAACAACGGAUCUCUUGGUUCUG